AUUGAACGCUGGCGGCAGGCCUAACACAUGCAAGUCGAACGAGUGGCGGACGGGUGAGUAAUGUCUGGGAAACUUCCCGAUGGAGGGGGAUAACUACGGGAAACGGUAGCUAAUACCGCAUACCAUCGGAUGUGCCCAUAUGGGAUUAGCUAGUUGGUGGGGUAACGGCUCACCAAGGCGACGAUCCGUAGCUGGUCUGAGAGGCUGACCGGCCACACUGGAACUGAGACACGGUCCAGACUCCUACGGGAGGCAGCAGUGGGGAAUAUUGCACAAUGGGCGCAAGCCUGAUGGAGCAAUGCCGCGUGUAUGAAGAAGGCCUUCGGAUUGUAAAGUACUGUCGGCGGGGAGGCGUUACCCACAGAAGAAGCACCGGCUAACUCCGUGCCAGCAGCCGCGGUAAUUC
rnacentral:rRNA from 1 species